UUUUUUUUACAUCCAUCUUUAUUUAAAACCAUGUUUCUGGGUCAGUGAUGUGACUUUUGUCUGGAUCUGCUAUGUAAUUAAAAUACACAAGACUUGAAUAAACUUCUGUGAUGAGCAUGCAUUUAUUAUGUAAAUGGUUUUGUGGGGCUUCAAAGUCAAAUAUGUUGACAUUAGAAGCAUUUCUACCAUUGACAUAUAUUAAAAAAAAAUCUGCAAAAUGUAUAUUGGGGUGGGGGGAUGAAGGGUGGGGUGUCUAUGUGGGUAGCAAUUUAGUUGUUUUACAUUGUGUGAAAUGUGUUUAAAACUGUUCUGAAUAAACGAUCUGGCUGUCCAAAUACUUCAGUUGCAAGGAAAACGAAGUUCCUAGAUCUUUAAAAGAACUAGAUCUUUAAAUUAUUUUUCCUUUUUAUAUUCAUAUUCAGAAUAAUUAUUUGUCAUUUCCUCUCUGCAUGUUUAAACAUACACAGAAUUUUUUUUUUCCAUUUUUUAAUUUGCCAUUGGAAAACGCCAUAAAAAUAUAAGACACAAGAUUAGAAAACUAUGCCCAUGUUCCCAGUUAAGACUCCAUUCGUUUGAGCGCGCUGGUGAUCCGGCAGUGAAUGGGUUAGGUUUCGCAUUACAAUAGACAGUAGAGAAUUUCAAGAAACAUGCUCUCCAGCCAUCUUUUCCUCGGGACGAAGGUUUUAAUUUGGAGUUUUAGCAGUUUAGUUUCAUGUGGCUGUAAAUUAAAACUCGACUAAACUGGCGAGUAGCCUAAUUUAAUCAAGGACGGUUCUGCGCGUAAAGGCGCACGAAGUUGGGUUUGAAGGGAAGCAAAGUGAAAUCACUGUAAAACGCUGCUUGGCGAGACAUGGAGAAAGAGAAGCUCCCUCUGUAGACGCCUCAACGAGUCACAAACGUUGCAGAAGACGAAAACAUCUAUAUGAAAGAAAAAUAAAUUUUUACUUACCAGACAUAUUGGCCUGAAAAGGAGGAAAACUCUGGAAGUGCUACAGUGAAAUACCCCAACGUCAGUUCUUUGCUCUAUUAUAUGGGCAAGAACGAAUUAUUCACAAAAGUCUUAAAAAGUCUCAACAAAGUAACCUCAAAACACUCUCAGGACAUACAAUUAUACAGUAAUAUAGCUAGGGAUAUUUUAGUUUGAGUUUUUCUCCCCUCAUCCCUACUAUUUAAAA